rnacentral:rRNA from 1 species
UACGGGGGGAGCAAGCGUUGUUCGGAUUUACUGGGCGUAAAGCGCACGCAAGCGGUCUGACAAGUCUGGCGUGAAAUUCUCUGGCUUAACCAGGGGGGGUCGCUGGAAACUGUUAGGCUUGAGGCGAUGAGAGGGGUGCAGAAUUCCACGUGUAGCAGUGAAAUGCGUAGAGAUGUGGAGGAACACCGAUGGCGAAGGCAGCCCCCUGGGCCAACACUGACGCUCAGGCACGAAAGCGUGGGGAGCAAACAGG